GGGAUUCUUCUCCUGUACUCAGCACUGGGGGGCUGUAGCCACGUGGAGGUUGGACUCUUCUCCAGGAAACCUGGGAUGAGGAGAACACAGCCUCAAGUGGGCCAGAGAUCCCCGAUGGCUCUUGGAAGACUGGCAAUGUUUGUCUUUUCUUUGGGGUUCAGAAACCUUAGAGGAAGAUUCACGUGGAUGAUGGGACCUCCCCUGAAGCUCCAUCCCCUCUCACAGUGGUGUUUCCUCCCUUUCUGGUCAAGGCACCCCUCCAGCUCCUGCAGGAGAGCUCUGCACAGGACAGAAGGUGGAGAUGGUCUUUGGAGGGUGGCAACAGCAAAAGGACAUUAAAUUAGGACUGGUGGUGGUGAUGGUGGUGCGAAUCAACGCUGAAGCAGCUGCACCUCUCCCUGUGCUUUGAUCACAGCUAUCCUGCAACAAGACACGUGGGAUGAUGCUGUGCUGAGUGCCAGGGAAGUGCCUGCCUGGCACUAAAAAAACACAGGAAGCGUUUUCUACCUGUCAGCAUUGUCUGCUUUAAGGGAAGGGCAGUAAAAGUCUGCUGCCUUUGAUGGCCUGGUCCCCACACUUUGUCCAAAGCUCUGCCACCAAUGCUGUAGUGCUGAAAGGAUUUUAAGCUAGCUUGGAUUUUUUUUUCAUUCCAUUUCUGCACUGCAGAGGUCUAGUAAGCUAAAUGUCCCAUAUCCAGUUACUCCAUUACACAGCACAGGCUGGGCAUUUGUUGUGACGGAACAAAUAGCAGAAAAGGAGAAAAAUGUCAGGUGUAGGAGAAAAAUGUCAGGUGUAGGGGGAUGUGUGGAAUUUAUGCAAUUUUUCAUAGAUACGACUUAGCAUUUUCCUAGAAACUUCACCACAAAGACCUCAGAGCUGUAGAUGGAGGCAAACAGCUUUGCUUUAAUGUGAGAAAGAAAUUCAGCCAGCGCUUUGCCAGAGUAAUGGGCAAAAUUAUGCAGCUUUGUCCCCUGAAAAGGCUGGCAUUGCAACGGGCCUUUUUAUCCCAAAGGAGCAGCUGAAUAAUAUUUUUGACAGCUUAUUGUGAAGAAAAUGCACAGUGUUUUUGAGAAGGGGUUUGUUUUCCUUUCACAUAGUUGCAAACAGUCUCACCUUUUCUCCAUUGAUGCAUACCAUAUAUCUGAGCACCCCUUUCUAGCCUCAUUAAUAUGGCAUAUUGCAUAUUGUGUAGAAGAUUUUGAAUAACUUACUCAUGGAAAUGUUGACAAAAUCUUCACAUUUCUGCAAAUUUUAUAUAUGCAAAUAAAUCACUGCUUUUCCUUUAAAACUGC